rnacentral:rRNA from 1 species
AGCAGCCGCGGUAAUUCCAGCUCCAAUAGCGUAUAUUAAAGUUGUUGCAGUUAAAAAGCUCGUAGUUGAAUUUCGGGAUUAGUACGUUGGUCGUGCCUUAGGUACGUACUGGUGUUACUGGUUCCUACCUUCUGACGAACCAUCAUGUCAUUAAUUUGGUGUGGCGGGGAAUCAGGACUGUUACUUUGAAAAAAUUAGAGUGUUUAAGGCAGGCUCGCGCUUGAAUACAUUAGCAUGGAAUAAUGAAAUAGGACGUUGACCCUAUUUUGUUGGUUUCUAGGAUUGACGUAAUGAUUAAUAGGGAUAGUUGGGGGCAUUAGUAUUCAAUUGUCAGAGGUGAAAUUCUUGGAUUUAUUGAAGACUAACUACUGCGAAAGCAUUUGCCAAGGAUGUUUUCAUUGAUCAAGAACGAAAGUUAGGGGAUCGAAGACGAUCAGAUACCGUCGUAGUCUUAACCAUAAACUAUGCCGACUAGGGAUCGGAUGAUGUUAAUUUUUUAAUGACUCAUUCGGCGCCUUACG